UCACUACACUCGUAAUCUGAAUAUGUAUUUUAUCAUUCACAUUAACUCACUGAAGAUGUAUAAGAAUA
rnacentral:tRNA from 1 species